AUUUUUGUCACUUCACGGACAAAGCCCUAACCUAAUCACAAGUUUUUUUCCCCUUUAUGUGUCUCUCGCGGAUAGAGCUAGCCUCUGGUGUCCAUGGGUUUUCUUCUUCUUCUCUUUCGUCCUGGUUCGAAUCCGCGAACGCUGGUGGUACGAGGAGGCGACGACGACAUUUCAGGUGAAGGCUCGUCGUCGAGCAAUGAGACGUCAUUUCCUUCCUUGUUCCUAGUUCGUUCACCUAUGGAGGGGAAACAAUUUCGACAGCAAGCGCGACCUACCUCUUGGAGGCAUCAUGGUCGCGGCAAAGCGUCUCCGUGAUGCAAGGGGCUUUCACUCUUCAGUGACUUCGAGAUUGUUGGCGCAUGUUUGGGGUUGUUGGUAAUGCGAUUUGGGGAUUAGGGAUUUGAAUGGGGUUUAUUCUUCUUUUCAACCUUCUCUGCAUAGAUGCAUUGACCUAUUUGAAUGGU
rnacentral:lncRNA from 1 species